CUACGGGGUGCAGCAGUGGGGAAUAUUGCACAAUGGGCGCAAGCCUGAUGCAGCCAUGCCGCGUGUAUGAAGAAGGCCUUCGGGUUGUAAAGUACUUUCAGCGGGGAGGAAGGGAGUAAAGUUAAUACCUUUGCUCAUUGACGUUACCCGCAGAAGAAGCACCGGCUAACUCCGUGCCAGCAGCCGCGGUAAUACGGGAGGGUGCAAGCGUUAAUCGGAAUUACUGGGCGUAAAGCGCACGCAGGCGGUUUGUUAAGUCAGAUGUGAAGUCCCCGGGCUCAACCUGGGAACUGCAUCUGAUACUGGCAAGCUUGAGUCUCGUAGAGGGGGGUAGAAUUCCAGGUGUAGCGGUGAAAUGCGUAGAGAUCUGGAGGAAUACCGGUGGCGAAGGCGGCCCCCUGGACGAAGACUGACGCUCAGGUGCGAAAGCGUGGGGAGCAAACAGGAUUAGAUACCCCAGUAGUC
rnacentral:rRNA from 1 species